GUGCACCCACGUAUUCCUAAUACACAGCACGCUGCCGCCGCCAUCUUCUUUCCAGCAGGCGGCCUCCAGCACUGACUUCCCUCGCUUCCACUCCACCCAACCCCUCCUGAGAAAGGCUCAGGGAAGUUCGCUUUUUCUCCAUCCCACCUGCUUAUCCAAGCACCAUCCUCUCUCGUCCGGAUGAGAGGGAUAAGACCACUUAACCAGUUAAGUGAUAGCCCCCAGCCUCUUAGCCACUGGGACGGCGGAGCCACUGAGAGCGAGCCCGGGAUCCCCAGCCCGGGGUUCAGGGUAAACAAGAUUACCUGGGGUGGCAGGAACUGGUGGAGACAGAAGGUGUUUCCAAACUUAAUCUGAAAUUAAUUAGAAAACGAAACAAGCCAAAGGACAAACAUCUGUGAGCAGAUGAUGUGCAGAGGCGAACAAAUUGGACACAUCACAUUCCGCUUGAGCUGGGAGUAGGAUCCUGCCGGGCUACAUAGGGAGUAGCCGGAGAGGCUUUCAGGGGGAGCAGUCUCAGUGUUUGCUUCUCAGGAUCAAAUGACGGAGCAGCGCCAAGCUCCAAAGACGCGGUCAGGGAGAGGGCUCUGCAGGGGAGCUGUGCGUCGGGGAGAUGAUCAUAAAAACUCAUCAGAACACACGCUGUUCAGGACCUGGGAGUGAGGAGCGGAGUGGACAUGGCAGCUCCCCUGACCAUGGGAGCAGGCUUCCUCGUGCACCCGGCAGGCUGGAAGGGGUGCCGGCACUGAGGUCCCGGAAGCACCCCUCCACUCCGUGUGCCCCCAGGUGGACUGCUCAGACACGGCCCAUGGAGGAGCCCACGGUCCCGGCUGAGCACGUGCACACGCGGGACCUGCCACUUUGGGCAUCCUCACUGGCCUCCUCACCACCCCCUCCCUUUCCCCUUCUCCACCUGCUUCCUGGGACCAGUCCCCAAACAAGCCGCUAGCACCCCAAGUCUGACCCGAGCUGGGGGCUGCUGCUAGGAAUGCAGACAGACAAGGAUGUUGGUGGCAAGCGGACGGGAUGGGCUUGGUAACCUGGAUGAGUGAGAGACACUGUGCACAGACCUGUCCCAAAGCCGGCGAGAUCCCUACGGGGACUCUGGUGGUUCCGACUCCCGUUUGGAUCAACUGCCUGGUGACCUCAUCACCGCCGUUCCCCAGAUCCACGUCAGCCCUGAAUUCGGGGACCCCCGGCACACAGGAAGCCACACUCGGAGCAUUACCUUAGCUCUGACCCCAGCAGACACCAAGCAACCCUGCCCUCUUCUUUCUAAAGAGGGAGCAGACACCCAAGGAUUCUUACCCGAGUUAACAGCUCCCCUCGCCUUGUGCAUUGCGGUCACUUGUAUCUCAGCAAGAACGAGCUGGAAGUCUGCCGAUGGAGGUGGGAGAGAAAAAUGGGUCCUGGGUCCUGCUGGUCCUAGGGCGGGGGGGGAGGGCGGCUCCAACGCCCUCCGGCCCAGCAUUUCAGGUGUCCGUGUCACCUGCCUGAGCCCCUGCUACUCCACUCGCCUGUUGGUGAGGGACAGAAAAGCUCCCUCACUAGGCUACUGUGAGGACUAUGGGAGAUGGUCAGCACCAACUUGUGGAAUUACAACCCAGAGACAGAGAUGACAGAGCACAUCAACUACACUGAGUAGAAGUUGCUCUCUCUUCCAUAAUGCUUCCUCCAUUGUUUUUUGCAUCAUAUCAAGCACAGGAAGAUACACCUGGAUCUAACACAUGUUGUAAAUCAACUAUACUCCCCUCCCCCCUAAAAAAAAAAAAAAAACCAUGAGGGUAGGAGGGGCUUUGUGGGAGCCCUCCUUUCCUCUCCUCCCACCCCUCCACCUCAUCACAGAUGCUAUUGGCGAGCAUCUGUCAUAAGCCACAUGCCCGCUCAGCAUUUUCUCACUAAAUGCUCCCCACACCACCCUCAAAAGACGAGAGCUGCCUCCCGUCCCU
rnacentral:lncRNA from 1 species